GGGUGUAUAGCUCAGUGGUAGAGCGCAUACCUAGCAUGCACGAGGUCCUGGGUUCAAUUCCCGGUACCGCCA
rnacentral:tRNA from 1 species